GACGAACGCUGGCGGCGUGCUUAACACAUGCAAGUCGAGCGGUAAGGCCCUUUCGGGGGUACACGAGCGGCGAACGGGUGAGUAACACGUGGGUGACCUGCCUCUAGCUCUGGGAUAAGCCUGGGAAGCUGGGUCUAAUACCGGAUAUGACCUCGCGGUGCAUGUUGCGGGGUGGAAAGCCUUGUGCGGCUAGGGGAUGGGCCCGCGGCCUAUCAGCUUGUUGGUGGGGUGANGGCCUACCAAGGCGACGACGGGUAGCCGGCCUGAGAGGGCGACCGGCCACACUGGGACUGAGACACGGCCCAGACUCCUACGGGAGGCAGCAGUGGGGAAUCUUGCGCAAUGGGCGAAAGCCUGACGCAGCGACGCCGCGUGAGGGAUGACGGCCUCGGUU
rnacentral:rRNA from 1 species